GAAGCAACGCGAAGAACCUUACCAGGUCUUGACAUCCUNUGACAACCCUAGAGAUAGGGCUUCUCCUUCGGGAGCAGAGUGACAGGUGGUGCAUGGUUGUCGUCAGCUCGUGUCGUGAGAUGUUGGGUUAAGUCCCGCAACGAGCGCAACCCUUGAUCUUAGUUGCCAUCAUUAAGUUGGGCACUCUAAGGUGACUGCCGGUGACAAACCGGAGGAAGGUGGGGAUGACGUCAAAUCAUCAUGCCCCUUAUGACCUGGGCUACACACGUGCUACAAUGGACGGUACAAAGAGCUGCAAGACCGCGAGGUGGAGCUAAUCUCAUAAAACCGUUCUCAGUUCGGAUUGUAGGCUGCAACUCGCCUGCAUGAAGCUGGAAUCGCUAGUAAUCGCGGAUCAGCAUGCCGCGGUGAAUACGUUCCCGGGCCUUGUACACACCGCCCGUCACACCACGAGAGUUUGUAACACCCGAAGUCGGUGGGGUAACCUUUUUGGAGCCAGCCGCCUAAGGUGGGACAGAUGAUUGGGGUGAAGUCGUAACAAGGUAACCAAGGGCGAAUUCGCGGC
rnacentral:rRNA from 1 species